UAUAUAUGAAAGCUGAGGAGGGAUUUCUAUGAUUUCUACACGUCCAUCAAACUGCCUGCCAGGCGGUGUGUUGGGGUUUCUGUCUCUCAUAAGACGAGAACAUUUCUUUUUUAACUUUUUGUUCUUUUCGGGAAAAAAAAAAGGACAAGUUCAACUUUUAUCAUCAGACUUUGAGAACUUAUUCAGAGAACUUGAGGUGAAGGAGGAAGAGGAGGAGGAGGAGGAGGAGGAGGAGUGAACAUCUGGUUUCCAGCAUCUCCGUCGUCCUGCCAGCCCGGCUCGUUGCUUAGCAACAAGGUUUUUUUCAGUGCCAGCUGAUGUCUGGACGCUGAUGGUCGGCGGCUCCGAGUCACUCUGAAGAGAAAUGAGACGGAUGGAACCUCGGGGAGUCGUUGGUACCAAAGCGACCAUCAGGUGACCUGAACAAACCUCUCUGUCACGGGCUUCCUCCCCCCGAGCAGAAGUCGUUUGAAGGAAAAGGAAAUGAAAGGACCCUCCCCCUCCGUGCUCAGCGCACUUCACUUCCUGUUUGGAUCAAGACGCUGGAAAACGAAAGUUAAAUUCUGGAUUCAUUUCUGUAUUCACAGACUUUAUCGUUUAUCUCGAGACCGCUCCAGAGUCUCCUCGAGGUCCUGCCGUGGGGGUCUUAACCCUCAGAUUGAACACCGCCAUCAUCAAAAAUUUAAAGACACUCCUCCCACCGCUCGGAGAAUCUUUCAGAGAGUCUUUCCUGAGGGGUCCUCUCUGCAGGGAGGGCGACCGAAGCUCCGCCUGAAGCAAAGAGAGAGAAUGAUUCCUCAGUGAGAUCAGACAGAUCUCAAAUGAUUCCUCCUUUUUUUUCUUAUUGUUGAAAGUUCUCUUUUUGGGGGAACUUCUCGUCUGAGGAUCGCUGACGACUUUCAUCUCCACAAGGACUCAGAUUACUUUUUCAAAUCGGCUCGUCGUCGUUCUCUAAAGUUCGAUGUCUGUGAGUUUUAUUCUCACGGUGUUUUAUCUUUAACGCUGUUUUAUGUUGCUGGAAAUGUUUUAAAGCAAAAGAAAUCGAAACUUUCAGCAACAUUCUUUCCCAUUUUGUCGAAGCCUUGGAUUUAAAAACAUCCUAAUUUGUUUUUUUAUUUUCUGCCUCUUUUGUUGAAGUUUUUAAUUUUCUAAUAAUUGCCCAAAAAGCAGCUGCUGUCCUGAACUCUGUCACUGCAUUUGAACAAAAAAGGACUGAAAUAUGGAGUCAUUGUUUCUGUUCAUACUUAUUUUAACAUCAAAGGCAAACUUUUGUCCAAAUUUAGAUUUCUUUUAAAUACAAACAAAAAAAACUGGUUCUGUACAGCUUUCCCUCAAAUUUAAAGCAAAGUUCAACUUUUUAUUUUGGUUUUAAAUUUCGAUGAGAAAAACUACCCAAAUAUUUAAAAUUAUUCAAAAAGUUUCUGCUUACUCGGCUCGUUUUUGUCCAAAUUUAAACAUCUAAAUUUAGAGAGGAUGUCCUAAAGUGGUCAGUUGAUCAGAGCUGUGAUUGGCUGAGACAGUGUCCUGUUUUUUAUUGAUUGAUGUUUUUGACUACUCUACACACACGUUUGUACUUUUAUACUUGUGAGGUCCAUUAUUGACAUGACUUCCUAAACAUCACCCUAAAACCAGAAAUUGUCCUAAUUUUCCAAAACUGUCUUCAUGUCCCAAAAUGGACGCUAGUUUUCGAUAAUGCCUCACUUGCUGAAAAACGUUCUUUUUCCAAAUUGUUUUUCACUUUCCAAAUAUUUCCAUACUUCACAGAGAAAUGUCCUAAUUUUCGCAAAAUUUCUUUCCGAAAAGUUCACACUUGCAAAAACUUUGUCCACAACUUUCCUGAAACUUCCUCACUUCAGAAAUUUGUUUCUAUUUACAAACAUUUACAUACUUCACAGAAACUUGACAUGAUGUGAAACUUUGUCCUCACAAAGAUAGAAGUACAAACACACUUUUAUGUUCGUUCUUCACAGUAUUGAGGACAGGCACACACGCACUAUGAUAUACGGUUUAAAAGUGUAACCACACCUUCAGUACUGCCUUUGAAUUCACGUGCACGUCUUGUAAGCACACACACACACACACACACUCCCAGCAGCUCACUGCAGAACCAAACCGACUCCACUUCCUGUCUCCACCUGUCCACGUCUUCUGUCUCCACCCGUCCACGUCUUCUUUCAUCUCAGACUCACCUUUCAUUCACCGUAUCUCUGCUCAGACAUCCUCAUCCUCGCAGCGUCUCUCUCCUCAAUCUUCCUUCUUUUUAAGUUUCAUUUGGCUUCACAUUCAAUAAAAACAGCAAAAGAUAAAAGAGGAAGACGUCCCUCUGUCCGUCCGUCUUAUCUCUUCGGUUCUUCUCUUGCUGGAGGAGCUAAAACUCUCAUUACUCAGCUGUCGGCUGCAGCAGGAGAAAUAAAUCUGUGUCGAGUUUUUUAUUUAAGUUGUAGCACAGGUGUGUGUACCUGCUAUAGGUUUAUAUACCUGCGUUGUGGGGACACAGACCUGAUUCUACACCACGUUGUGGGGACUCACCAUCCGUUUCAGACAAAUAAGGCAGUUUAAGUUUUUUCUUUAACGGUUGAUUCUAGGUUUUAAUGUUUGUUUAUGUGCUCUUACACUAUGGGGCACACUGACAUUUAAACAUACACAUUGUGGGGACACACUGACAUUUAAACAUACACAUUGUGGGGACACACUGACAUUUAAACAUACACAUUGUGGGGACACAGUGACGUUUAAUCAUGCACAUUGUGGGGACAAAGUUACGUUUAAACAUGCACAUUGUGGGGACCCUGGAUUCUACCCCACAUAGUGGGGACUCACUUCCUAUUUCAGACUAAUAAGGCAGUUUAAGGUUUUUUUUUCUUUAGGGUCAAGGUUUGUGUCUUAAGGGUGGUUUAACUCUUUUUUACAUAGUGGGGACACACUGAAGUUCAAAUACAUGUAUUGUGGGACUCAAGCAAGAGAACAUACUUUUGUUUUUCCUAUACUUAAGUGAAGCUUUUUUUCUGAACACAGCAUUUACAUUUCAACCAUUUCAGCUACAAAUAAUCGGUCGGUUGCAUUGAGAAUCCAGUUUUUCAUCAACAGAUCCGUUCAUCUGAGCUUCGUUGGCUCCUUUAGUCCCACGUCUUGAUGAUUCUCCUGCUGUGUGUUAAUGGAGCUUGUUUUGUUUUAAUUAUUAGCUGCUUAAUUAAAGAGCUCUGAGGUACAAAUGUAAACUAGACCAAGAGAUGAGCUGAAUCUCUCCUACUGAAUGUGAGGAGAGAAAAAAUACUGUCUGCUAAAUCUGAGAGAACGCAAUUCUCCCAAUUUCUCACCCUCUCUGUCUCCUUUUCUUUUCUUUUAAUCUGUAAGAUGCCGGAGACAGAAAGACGGUGAGAGAGAUUUUUGGCUAAAUCCAUCAAGAAAAACAUGAGAGAGCAGCGAAAAGAAGAAGAAGAAGAAAAAGAAGAACGAGACAUCAAUUAAGCCUCCGCAGAUAAACACAGCAGGCCGACAUCCUCCAGCAGAAAACAUCAAAGAGACGUUUUCAUUUAUCACGAGAGCAAAAUAUACAGUUUAGAGACGUGAAAAAAACACAACUGUCUCUCAGUAAUCGAGAGAAAACUACGAGAAACAUGAGCCUGAUGAUCCUUUAAAUCAAAAGUCCAUCUAUAAUGUAUUAUCAAUAUAUUAUAUUCCUUUUAUGUAACUCAGCUCUGAAGUUAAAUAGCGCUAAAACAAUUAAACUGUCAAUUCAAGUUAAAUUAUGAUUUAAGACGGCCCCUAAAGUUUUUAUUGUCUUAUUAUGCAGAUUAUUGAUAUUAAGAUUUGAUUUCUUGACAUUAACUUCUGGAAUUGUUGAUAUCACAAAUGUCCUUGCAUGAAUCAGAAAAUGGAUUAUAUCAACUAUUAGAUUGUUUAUAUUAAGACUAGUUUAAAAACUAUGAUUUUUUUUUGAUUGCAGCAAGAAGAAAAAGGAUAAAAGUUAAAACAGCUUUAACUUCUAAACUCAAUGUUUUUUAGUGAUCUAAAGAAAAUACAAAACACGUUUCUGUAACUCUUCAACUGUUAUUGCUUCAUUAAAUCAAUCAAUUAAAACAUCGAUUUGCAUUAAUGUUAAAAAUGUAUAUUAAGAAUUGGGAAAAUACUGAAAAAUGAACAAACAUUUAUACAGUUCAAAUUGUAUUCUUGGUACAAAAGUAUAAAAGCUGAGAUGAUCAAGAUUCAUUUCAUGUGAUUUCAACACAUGACAUGAAUUUUAAUUUAAAGGUUAUUGUGAAAAAAUUAAAAGUUAAUUCUUUAUUUAAAUAAUUUAAUUUCAACUUAAACUCUUACGGCUCAAUAUUAAUAAUUACAUUAUUUAUAUUAACAACCAAACAAUAACUGUUACCUUUAAAUUGCACAUCUGUCUUUUAAAUCAAUUUUUUAAAUUGUUUUAAAUGUUAAAUUGUUAAAAUUUACCAGAAAAUAAUAAAACGGUUAAAGGAAAUAAUUCAAAUGAUUAUUAAUGAUUUUUAUUUUUAAAAUCAAUCUCUAUUCUUGGCCUCUCCGACCCUCCGUACUUUUAUUGAACUCAUCACUUUAUUUCCUUCAGUCGGAUUUAAUCAGACUUUUGUUGAAAGAAGUUCUUAUCCGAGUUGAUUUUUAACUUCAUAACGUUUCAGAGGACAAACUGACUUGAGAACAGUUUUUAAAAACUCAGCAGCUUGUUGGAAGAGAUGCGUUUUGUCUCGUUUCUGAUUCAGGUUUCAGCAAACGUUUGUGAGCGUUCGUCUUAUCCCUUUAAUUCUGCUGUCUGCCUUUCAGCCAUCUGCAUCCUCCUCUUCCUCCUCCUCCUCGCCUCCCUCUGCUUACUCAUCCUCUUCAUCAUGCUGUCGUCCUCCCACACCUUCAUCCCUCCUCCUCUGUCUCAUCUUAAAGUUCACUUCAGCCCUCUUCCCCCUCUUCCUCCUCUUCCUCCUCUUCAGCCCUCUUCCUCCUCUUCCUCCUUGCCUUACACUAAGCCUGUUCACAUAGGAUUAGAAACUCCAGCAGCUCCAUCGCUGCUGUUCUUACCCUUUAAAGGAGUUUUGGUUUCAUGUUUUCUGGUGUUUGUUUGUGCACAUUUUGGGAGCUGCUGCCUUCCACCUUUACUGAAGGAUGGAUAACUGAACCAGGGUCAGGAGGCCAAGUUUUAGGCUAAAAAGCUGUUAAAUCUAAAAUGUGACGUAACGUGAUGCAAUGCAUGAUGGGAGAGAUUGGCCACCUGGAAGAGGAAAUUGUUCAAGUCUCAAGUUGCUAGUUUUGUUUUUCUGAGUAUAUUUUUUAAGGUGGAUUUUUCCUUUAAAGUAUUUCCUGUUGAAUACUUUUUUAUGACAAACUGCACCUGUUUUUUAUGGUCUUUUCUGUGUUGUGUUUUUCUUUUUAAGUGUCACAAAAACAAAUAACCACGACUAUAAAUGUCUGCUGUUUGUUUUUUUGGGAUCCGAGUGAAUCACGCGUCUUUGCCGUGUUUUGAUUUUUAAAUUGAAAACAUGAAACAAUCACUGUCUGUGAUAUUUUCUUAGUCUUUACACUGUUAUUGUUGUCUUUUAUCAACGCAAAGGUUUUAGUUUUGAUAAAUUAUUCAAGUAGGCGCUUAUGAACUCUUUUAUUUUGUUAGGUUUUUUAUUUUUAUUAUUUUUUGUCUCUGCACUCAAAAACAAACCAAACAGGAAAACAACAGUUUCAACACAUCGUAUAAGAAAGAAAGUGAACUUCACAAUUAAAGUCCACCACUGUCAAUCAAAGUCAAAUCACUGAAACCUUUUAAUUUGAAAAUCAUGAUCGGCUUUCUUUGUCUUUCUGAAUUUACAAACUCAAGAACUUUAAAGUUAAUUAAAAAAUUAAAACUUCUUUGUUGGAAAAAGCUAAAACGUGAAGUUUCACAUUUAAUAGAAGCAUAAAGCACGAAAUUUAGAGUGGUUUUCAAAAUCAAAUAUUUCAAUACUGUGGUUUUGUGUGUGCAUGAUUUUCAAAGUAAAUUGUUUCAAUGUUAAGUUCAAGUUUUAAAAUCAAGUCUGUGAAUUGCAAAACACAAAAAAAAAUUCCAAAUAACAAAUUUCAAAGUAUGAAUAAUUUUAUUAAAAUAUUGCAGUGGUUUUGAAAUAUAUCAUGGAUUUAUUUCCUGUCAUAACUGGGAAUUACGUUAAAUUAGGACCAGAUUAUUUUCAUUAUUCGGCUUUCUGUUUUUCUACAGUGUAGAUGCAGGUUGUGUGUAUCAGUGUGUGAUCAGAGCUCCUCUAUAUUUUCUACGUGGUUGAAAGUUGUGUCAAAUCUGAAGUGUAGAUUUCUCUUCCUGCCUUCUGUCUGAGCUCUUUUAUGAGUCCGCGCUAUUGUUUUGUAAAGAAAUAAAACUUCCUCCUGUACCAAA